GACGUAGGUGGCAAGCGUUGUCCGGAUUUACUGGGCGUAAAGAGCGCGCAGGCGGUCGUUCAAGUCGCGUGUGAAAGCCCCCGGCUCAACUGGGGAGGGUCACGCGAUACUGAUCGACUCGAAGGCAGGAGAGGGAAGUGGAAUUCCCGGUGUAGUGGUGAAACGCGUAGAUAUCGGGAGGAACACCAGUGGCGAAGGCGACUUCCUGGCCUGUUCUUGACGCUGAGGCGCUAAAGCUAGGGGAGCAAACGGG
rnacentral:rRNA from 1 species